CCUACGGGUGGCAGCAGUGAGGAAUAUUGGUCAAUGGACGAGAGUCUGAACCAGCCAAGUAGCGUGAAGGAUGACUGCCCUAUGGGUUGUAAACUUCUUUUAUAAAGGAAUAAAACGAGGCACGUGUGCCUUUUUGCAUGUACUUUAUGAAUAAGGAUCGGCUAACUCCGUGCCAGCAGCCGCGGUAAUACGGAGGAUCUGAGCGUUAUCCGGAUUUAUUGGGUUUAAAGGGAGCGUAGAUGGGUUGUUAAGUCAGUUGUGAAAUUUUGCGGCUCAACCGUAAAAUUGCAAUUGAUACUGGCAGUCUUGAGUACAGUUGAGGUAAGCGGAAUUCGUGGUGUAGCGGUGAAAUGCUUAGAUAUCACGAAGAACCCCGAUUGCGAAGGCAGCUUACUAAACUGUGACUGACAUUGAUGCUCGAAAGUGUGGGUAUCAAACAGGAUUAGAUACCCUUGUAGUC
rnacentral:rRNA from 1 species